rnacentral:rRNA from 1 species
AUGUACAUGCCUACUUCAUAGCGUUAAUGCAUCAGAUCCCAUUAGAAAUUCACAGUUAAGAGCGCUCAGGAUAGAGUAGUAUUGGGAUGGGUGACUGCCCAGGAAGUCCUAAUGUUUUACAUG